CCUACGGGCGGCAGCAGUGGGGAAUAUUGGACAAUGGGGGCAACCCUGAUCCAGCCAUGCCGCGUGUGUGAAGAAGGCCCUCGGGUUGUAAAGCACUUUCAGUGAGGAAGAACGCCUGGUGGUUAAUACCCAUCAGGAAAGACAUCACUCACAGAAGAAGCACCGGCUAACUCCGUGCCAGCAGCCGCGGUAAUACGGAGGGUGCGAGCAUUAAUCGGAAUUACUGGGCGUAAAGCGCGCGUAGGUGGCUUGAUAAGCCGGUUGUGAAAGCCCCGGGCUCAACCUGGGAACGGCAUCCGGAACUGUCAAGCUAGAGUGCAGGAGAGGAAGGUAGAAUUCCCGGUGUAGCGGUGAAAUGCGUAGAGAUCGGGAGGAAUACCAGUGGCGAAGGCGGCCUUCUGGACUGACACUGACACUGAGGUGCGAAAGCGUGGGUAGCAAACAGGAUUAGAUACCCGAGUAGUC
rnacentral:rRNA from 1 species